AUGCGGCAACUCCACCAGAGUCAGAAUUUGCCGUGGCUCUUGAUUGGCGAUCUUAAUGAAAUCCAGUUUCUUCAUGAGAAGGAGGGAGGCAAUCCACGUCCGACACAAUAUAUGCAGACCUUUCAAGAAGCAAUUGAUGAUUGUGGUUUACAUGAUAUGGGCUUCAUCGGGGACCCGUUCACAUGGAGACGUGGAAGAAUAAGGGAAAGGCUAGACAGAGGCCUGGUGAAUGAUGCAUGGGCGAACUUGUUUACUAAUGCAGCAUUGCAGAAUUUGGAAUUUAACCACUCUAAGCACAGACCCCUUCUUGUGGAUACAGAGUUCUAUACACAUCCAACCGCCAUACAGAACAAUGUGCAAGUAAAACAAUUUGAGGCACAAUGGUUGAGGGAGAGGAGUUUUGAGAAGACGGUGACGACGGUGUGGAAUGAUGUUACAGCCUAUCCAACUGUGACUAAUAUUUAUGAAAAGCUGAAUAAAAUGCAUAACCAGUUCCACGACUCGGAUCACAAAGUUCUCAAAAAGCCAAAAAAGUGUCUGCGUAAAGCACAGCGAGAUCUUGAAAGAGUUAUGGUGAGGCCUAUGGAUGAUGAGAAUGAAGAAAAGAGAAGAGAAUUAACUGAACUCAUCGAGUAUUUGAUGGAAUUGGAAGAGAUUCAAGUGAGGCAACAGUCCAGACCAACUUGGCUAAAAGCUCGCGACCGCAACACUUCUUUCUUCCAGGCGUUCACUUAG
rnacentral:rRNA from 1 species